GGCUCCAUAAUGUAGUAGUUAGCACAUCUGCUUUACAUGCAGAAGGUCCUAGGUGGUGCCA
rnacentral:tRNA from 1 species